GGACAAAUUUCAACUGUGUGAUGGCAAAUCAAUGGAGUCCUGAAUAAAACAGAUGGAUUGAAAAUUGUGUGAUGAAGUUGCUUCCAUCUCAUCCUUACCUCAACACCUGCAACAGAUCUCAAGCCAGCAUGUGAAUAACGAAGUAUUGUUCCUCUACUGUUUAGUGAUUCCAC
rnacentral:lncRNA from 11 species